UGAACUUAAGGAACAGUCAUACCCAGUGGUUACAGGAAUGUCAAAUCCAUGGCCCGCGCAGGAGAGAACCUUAACUAAUGCAGGCAGUGUGGUCAGACUCUUAAGUUCCUGCUCUUCACUCAAUACAAUCCUUCUAGGAGGCAGUUUGAAAAGGAAGCACCAAUACCAAGGAAAUAAACCCUGCAUGAAGAAAGUCAGCCGGCAAUCGGCCACAGCUUAAACCCAGCCCCUCAGGCAGUGGAGAAGCUGGGGGAGCAGGAAGUUCUGAGCUUCCAGAAGCUUCACAGUUUCAGUAACUCCCCAUUAGGAAGCACCGGCAGCAACGUGGGCCUGGCUGAGGAAUCUGGCAGUGGGAAGGUAGCCCUGAAGUGUUUCUAGGAUUAUCAGGAAAAGCACUCCAAAGAAUGGCUGCACAGUUUUAUGUGCAUAUCACCAAGAUGAAUGGAAAAUAAGAAAUAAAAGAAAAGGGUCUGACUGCU
ensembl:lncRNA